GACGUAGGGCGCGAGCGUUGUCCGGAUUUAUUGGGCGUAAAGAGCUUGUAGGCGGUUUGUCGCGUCUGCUGUGAAAAUCCGGGGCUCAACCCCGAGCCUGCACUCGAUACGGGCUAGCUAGAGUGUUGCAGGGGAGACUGGAAUUCCUGGUGUAGCGGUGAAAUGCGCAGAUAUCAGGAGGAACACCGGUGGCGAAGGCGGGUCUCUGGGCAACUACUGACGCUGAGGAGCGAAAGCGUGGGGAGCGAACAGG
rnacentral:rRNA from 1 species